UACCCCAAAUUAUGCGAAAGUAAUGAAGUGUUCUUUACUACUAACUCCCGAUGUUACGUUGUCGGCCGCCAACGUAACUCUCCGCGAAGUUAGAAGUUAUACACUUCGAUUCAACUCCAAUUUUUUAGAGUUAUAAUAAAACCCAAUCAUAAUACUUUCGCUUACAAGUCAAAUAGACCCUAUCUCUCACGAGUCUAAUUCCUACAGUCCAACUGGCCUACGAUUUGCUAGAUCCACUAAGACUCAACCUUAGGCUCUAAUACCAAAAUAAUCUGUCACGCCCCGGGACCCAGCGGAAGCCCGCCCGGUGUGUGUCCAGACCCACCAUAUUCCUACAACAUAUAAGGCGUUUACAACAAGACGAUAAAUAAAACAAUAAUAAAUG
rnacentral:lncRNA from 1 species